rnacentral:lncRNA from 1 species
AUACUGAAACUGGUAUCUAAGAGGCAAUUAGUAAAUGUUAGUUACCUAUUUUUCCCCUCAUGCAGAUAUCAGAGAGACUUCUCUACUGCUUGGGACGCUUGUUCAGAGUACAAUUUCCAUAGCAGCAAGAAAAGGAGUUUUUGUUUGUGGAUACUUUAAGACUUUGAAAACUAGGAUAUUCUAAAUCCAGGUAUGAUAUAUUAUAAAAGUUGCUUAGCAAGGAUGAAAAAGAAAGAGAAAUGUUGUGUUGAGUAAUUCAUGUUUCUGAAUGUGAUGAUCUAGAUAUUGAGUAAAAUUAACUAAAAUAUUCUGAAAAUAUUAAAAAACAGAUCCUUACCAUAAUGAGCUUCUGCCAGUCUACCUCAUCAUGAGGCACAUUUUUUGUUGGCUCGUAUUAUAAGCCCUGUUUACAAAGUGAUGGCUGGUGAAGAUAAAGUUUACACGAAACUUUUAGAUGUCAUUAUUAUUCCCUUACAAUAGCAAUAUGAUAGAGGAUGACUGGAUAAUUAUUGGUUGCCUGUGAAACUGUCUUUCCUCCCUUACCCUUUCCAACAGCUCCUGAUUUUCUUUUGAGGAUUCAUGUGCUUCUGUGGAAGCUGUGCCCAUCUACCAUUGCUGCGGGAGUGGAGCAAGUGUUAUAGGAUUUUCUAAGAAGUAGAUUUUAUUGCUCUGGCUACAGUGUUUGCUUCAGGGUUAGACAUGUGAUGUAAUUCAAUUGAAUUGAAAUUAACCUCCAAACUUUUGCUUAGAAUUGUGGGACAUAGGCACAUUACCCUUAUCCCAAUGACCUAGUGUGUAGAUGUGAGGGCUGGGACUGGUGCAUCAAUUUUUAGUAAUAGCAACACAAAUAACAAAAAACCCAAGAGAAUUAAACAGACUUACAGCAGGGCUGUCCAAUCUUUUGGCUUCCCUGGGCCACAAUGGAAGAAGAAGAAUUGUCUUAGGACACACAUAAAAUGUACUAACACUAACGAUAGCUGAUGAACUAAAAAUAAUUGCAAAAAAAUCUAUAAUGUUGUAAGAAAGUUUACAAAUUUGUGUUGUGGCAUGUCCAAGCUGUCCUAGGCUGCAUGUGGCCUGUGGGCUGUGGGUUGGAGAAGCUUGACCUAAAGGCAAAUAGCAUCAUAAUUCUAAUAGUCAAGCUAUGUCUAACAAUAGACUUACCUCUGUACAUUUCACUUAUAUAAGCUAUACAUUCUUAUUUAUUGUUUAAGUAAGUUGAUUUUAUUGUUGUGUGUGAUAUAAAGUAUCCAUGCUAAUACAGAAAUAUACUGAGUAGUUUUCAUUAUGAAUAGAUUUUCAUCACUCAGAGAUGAACAGAAUGUUUUAAGCCCACAUCAGCUUUUAGAGUUACCAUUUCA